GGCAGCACGGACUUCGGUCUGGUGGCGAGUGGCGAACGGGUGAGUAAUGCAUCGGAACGUGCCAUUGAGUGGGGGAUAACGUAGCGAAAGUUGCGCUAAUACCGCAUAUUCUGUGAGCAGGAAAGCAGGGGACCGCAAGGCCUUGCGCUCUUUGAGCGGCCGAUGUCAGAUUAGCUAGUUGGUGAGGUAAAGGCUUACCAAGGCGACGAUCUGUAGCGGGUCUGAGAGGAUGAUCCGCCACACUGGAACUGAGACACGGUCCAGACUCCUACGGGAGGCAGCAGUGGGGAAUUUUGGACAAUGGGGGCAACCCUGAUCCAGCCAUGCCGCGUGAGUGAAGAAGGCCUUCGGGUUGUAAAGCUCUUUCGGCCGGGAAGAAAUCGCAUGGGCCAAUACCCUGUGUGGAUGACGGUACCGGAAUAAGAAGCACCGGCUAACUACGUGCCAGCAGCCGCGGUAAUACGUAGGGUGCGAGCGUUAAUCGGAAUUACUGGGCGUAAAGCGUGCGCAGGCGGUUUUGUAUGACAGGCGUGAAAUCCCCGGGCUUAACCUGGGAACUGCGUUUGUGACUGCAAGGCUAGAGUACGGCAGAGGGGGGUGGAAUUCCACGUGUAGCAGUGAAAUGCGUAGAGAUGUGGAGGAACACCAAUGGCGAAGGCAGCCCCCUGGGUCGAUACUGACGCUCAUGCACGAAAGCGUGGGUAGCAAACAGGAUUAGAUACCCUGGUAGUCCACGCCCUAAACUAUGUCAACUAGGUGUUGGGUGGGUAAAACCAUUUAGUACCGUAGCUAACGCGUGAAGUUGACCGCCUGGGGAGUACGGCCGCAAGGUUAAAACUCAAAGGAAUUGACGGGGGCCCGCACAAGCGGUGGAUGAUGUGGAUUAAUUCGAUGCAACGCGA
rnacentral:rRNA from 1 species